GGGGGGACGCAGGAGGAUAAGGAGAGCGCGCCACUGGAUGUGCGCGUCCAAGCAGUGAGACGGUCGGAUAGGCAAAUCCGUCCGGCAACGUCAAGCUGUGAUGGGGAGGGAAAUAUAGUACCGAAGCUCCUGAGUUCACACUGCCAAGAAAAUCCUCUAGUGAGGAAAGAGGUGCCCGUACCGCAAACCGACACAGGUAGGCGAGGAGAGGAUCCUAAGGUGAGCGGGAGAACUCUCGUUAAGGAACUCGGCAAAAUGACCCCGUAACUUCGGGAGAAGGGGUGCUCCUCUGCCGAGGAGCCGCAGUGAAAAGGCCCAAGCGACUGUUUACCAAAAACACAGGUCUCUGCGAAGCCGUAAGGCGAAGUAUAGGGGCUGACACCUGCCCGGUGCUGGAAGGUUAAGGGGAUGCGUUAGCUUAUGCGAAGCGUUGAACCGAAGCCCCAGUAAACGGCGGCCGUAACUAUAACGGUCCUAAGGUAGCGAAAUUCCUUGUCGGGUAAGUUCCGACCCGCACGAAAGGUGCAACGACUUGGGCACUGUCUCAACGAGAGACCCGGUGAAAUUAUACUAUGUGUGAAGAUGCACAUUACCCGCGACAGGACGGAAAGACCCCGUGGAGCUUUACUGUAGCCUGAUAUUGAAUGUUGGUACAGCUUGUACAGGAUAGGUAGGAGCCUUGGAAGCCGGAGCGCUAGCUUCGGUGGAGGCGCUGGUGGGAUACUACCCUGGCUGUACGGACAUUCUAACCCAGGACCGUUAUCCGGUCCGGAGACAGUGUCAGGUGGGCAGUUUGACUGGGGCGGUCGCCUCCCAAAGAGUAACGGAGGCGCCCAAAGGUUCCCUCAGAAUGGUUGGAAAUCAUUCGCAGAGUGUAAAGGCACAAGGGAGCUUGACUGCGAGACCUACAAGUCGAGCAGGGACGAAAGUCGGGCUUAGUGAUCCGGCGGUACCGCAUGGAAGGGCCGUCGCUCAACGGAUAAAAGCUACCCCGGGGAUAACAGGCUUAUCUCCCCCAAGAGUCCACAUCGACGGGGAGGUUUGGCACCUCGAUGUCGGCUCAUCGCAUCCUGGGGCUGUAGUCGGUCCCAAGGGUUGGGCUGUUCGCCCAUUAAAGCGGUACGCGAGCUGGGUUCAGAACGUCGUGAGACAGUUCGGUCCCUAUCCGUCGUGGGCGUUGGAAAUUUGAAAGG
rnacentral:rRNA from 1 species